rnacentral:rRNA from 1 species
GACGAACGCUGGCGGCGUGCUUAACACAUGCAAGUCGAGCGAGGCCCCACCUUCGGGUGGGUGUUCUAGCGGCGAACGGGUGAGUAACACGUGGGCAACCUGCCCUCAGCUCUGGGAUAACUCCAAGAAAUUGGGGCUAAUACCGGAUAUGACCGCUGACCGCAUGGUCUGGUGGUGGAAAGAUUUAUCGGCUGGGGAUGGGCCCGCGGCCUAUCAGCUUGUUGGUGGGGUAGNGGCCUACCAAGGCGACGACGGGUAGCCGGCCUGAGAGGGUGACCGGCCACACUGGGACUGAGACACGGCCCAGACUCCUACGGGAGGCAGCAGUGGGGAAUAUUGCGCAAUGGGCGAAAGCCUGACGCAGCGACGCCGCGUGGGGAU